UACGUAGGUGGCAAGCGUUGUCCGGAUUUACUGGGCGUAAAGAGCGCGCAGGCGGUCGUUCAAGUCGCGUGUGAAAGCCCCCGGCUCAACUGGGGAGGGUCACGCGAUACUGAUCGACUCGAAGGCAGGAGAGGGUAGUGGAAUUCCCGGUGUAGUGGUGAAAUGCGUAGAUAUAGGAAGGAACACCAGUGGCGAAGGCGACCACCUGGACUGAUACUGACACUGAGGUGCGAAAGCGUGGGGAGCAAACAGG
rnacentral:rRNA from 1 species